rnacentral:lncRNA from 1 species
AAAGCUUGUAUCAUUGACUUAGAAUUUAUAUAAUAUAAUUAGGGCUAGUAUUCUCAACUAGUUUGUACAAUUGGUGUCACUUCUAUAAUUCAAAAUUUAGUAAUACUUAGGUAAUUAGGUGUAUUAAGUGUGUACAAAGUUUUAUAUUAAUCUAAUAAUGUAAUUGAAAGACAUUUGGAUUUUGAUAUAAGAAGGUAUCAAAAGUUGGCAGUUUGGAGUUGCAUUGGGUUUUUAUGCUAUCUAAAGAUCUACUAGUCAAAUCAAGGUGAAAUUUGGCACAAUAUAAAAAGACUUCAAGAUCAAGCUAUAAACCAAUUUUGAAUUGAAGUUAAUAAUUAAAAAAAGAUAAAUUACUAUUAGAACAUCUGCAUUAUCUUUCAAGUUGGCAGCUAAGUGAUAUCAGUGCAAUUUUUUGGAUCUUUUCUUCCAAUUUGUGAAUUGAAUUAGGUUGAACUUUUUCAAGCAUAUAAGAGACUUAUAAUGGCAUUUUUAUGUAAAAUUUUGCAUGAAGUAGAUAGUCA